AACGAACGCUGGCGGCAUGCCUAACACAUGCAAGUCGAACGAGACCUUCGGGUCUAGUGGCGCACGGGUGCGUAACGCGUGGGAACCUGCCCUUAGGUUCGGAAUAACUCCCCGAAAGGGGUGCUAAUACCGGAUAAUGUCUUCGGACCAAAGAUUUAUCGCCUUUGGAUGGGCCCGCGUUGGAUUAGCUAGUUGGUAGGGUAAAAGCCUACCAAGGCGACGAUCCAUAGCUGGUCUGAGAGGAUGAUCAGCCACACUGGGACUGAGACACGGCCCAGACUCCUACGGGAGGGAGCAGUGGGGAAUAUUGGACAAUGGGCGCAAGCCUGAUCCAGCCAUACCGCGUGGGUGAAGAAGGCCUUCGGGUUGUAAAGCCCUUUUGUUGGGAAAGAAAAGCAUCAGGUUAAUACCCCUCUGUUCUGACGGUACCCAAAGAAUAAGCACCGGCUAACUUCGUG
rnacentral:rRNA from 1 species